CCUCCUGCCUCAAAUUCAUAAAACCUUUAUUUCUAUGCACAGUUUACAUUUUUAUGUGUUUUCAGGUGGAGGCAGAAGAAACCGAUCUCUCUGCAUGGAAUGAUCAAGUAAUUAACUGGUUUUACGGAGACCGUUAAACCUGACAACAAAGAGGCCAUAAUAAGAUCAAUUGUGCUUCAUGCAACUCUACAUUUGGUCCCUUUGUUGAAGCAAAUCUGAAAAGGUCUUGAAGUCUACAAUUUUGUGGACAUCCUGGAAAACCAUUCAGGACUUUGCCACCAGUUCUUUGUCCCUGAUGUGGUGGAUGAUUAUAAGGCUGAUGCAGACUUCAUCAUGCAGAACAUUCUUCCGAAAAUGUCGGAAAAGGGAUCAGUACGAGAGACUUAUGAAACAGCUAUAAUCAACUUUCUGCAAGACUUUCUCCAAACAAUUGAAAGCUGUGUUAUGUAUGAACUUACAGAGUUGAUUUAGUAUAAAUAUUGUUAAAAAAAAAUGCAGAUUACACAAAUUAAUGUUAAAAUGUAGUUGAUUUAAUUCAGUCAAAACCAACCCUAGAGAUACGUUUUUUUUUUUGCUUGUAGAGGAUAACCCUGACGGAGACAUCCUGCCCUUAACUGUCCCCGGUGUCAUGCAAUGGCUCACUGGCCAGGGACACAAACCUCUUCUAAUGUCAGAACUUAAAGAUUUCUCUUCAUUUUGACCAUGAGUGUAUGUAGAGGAUGCCAGAACAUAUAAUAUGCUUCCCAGUUGUUAGUGCCUGUGCCAGAAAAAUUACAUUUCCCACCGUACACAUGGGUGACUACAGUUCUUUUAAAUCAGUCAUGUUGCAAGCCAUUCAAUUUGACAACGGUUUUAACGGAAUUUAAAAUGCUACUAAAUGUAUGGAAUUGUACAUGUUCAGGAAGAAAACUUUUAUACAUUGGUAAAUGUUCUUAUGGUUUUUUAAUUUACUGUGUAUGUGUAGAGAACACAACGUGUUACAUAUUGUAAAAUUGUAUAUCUUAAUGAAGGGGUUAAG